UCAAACUUGGUCAUUUAGAGGAAGUAAAAGUCGUAACAAGGUUUCCGUAGGUGAACCUGCGGAAGGAUCAUUACAGGGUUAUGCCUGGGAUAUGCUUUUAUCCUAAGGCAGCCAUGAUCAUCCCUUUGUGCACUUAUUGAUACCUGAGGCUUUGGCAGACGUCAAAAAUCUGCCAAAGACCUUGACCAAAUAAACCUUUUAGUCUGAUCUACUUGACUGAACUUUGAUUAGCAAUGUAAAUACAACUUUCAACAACGGAUCUCUUGGCUCUCGCAUCGAUGAAGAACGCAGC
rnacentral:misc_RNA from 1 species